rnacentral:rRNA from 1 species
UACGAAGGGGGCGAGCGUUGUUCGGAUUUACUGGGCGUAAAGGGCGCGCAGGCGGCUCAUUUUGUCAGGCGUGAAAGCCCCGGGCUUAACCUGGGAACUGCGUUUGAUACGGAUGGGCUAGAGUUCGGGAGAGGAGAGUGGAAUUCCCAGUGUAGAGGUGAAAUUCGUAGAUAAUUGGGAAGAACACCGGUGGCGAAGGCGGCUCUCUGGACCGAUACUGACGCUGAGGCGCGAAAGCGUGGGGAGCAAACAGGG